rnacentral:rRNA from 1 species
UACAGAGGGUGCAAGCGUUAAUCGGAAUUACUGGGCGUAAAGCGUGCGUAGACGGUUGCGUAAGUCAGAUGUGAAAGCCCCGGGCUCAACCUGGGAAUUGCAUUUGAGACUGCGUAGCUAGGGUGCGGAAGAGGGAAGCGGAAUUUCCGGUGUAGCGGUGAAAUGACGUAGAUAUCGGAAGGAACACCAGUGGCGAAAGCGGCUUCCUGGUCCAGCACCGACGUCAGGCACGAAAGCGUGGGGAGCAAACAGG